AGACCCAGGCCUCCAGCUCUAUGGAGCAGGCUGGAGCCAUGCCCUCCUGGGUGGGGCUGCAGCCACCCAAACCUCGGCUGUGGAUCCAAGCCUCCCUGUGCUCUUGGUGGGGACCGUGAGCAGGACAAGAACUUGGACAAGAACUUGGGCAAAGGUGCCACUGGCCACAGAGGUUUCUGGCCAGGCAGUUGACACCCCAAAGAUCCCAUAACACCAGCAUCAUGCUUCCUGUACAGCCUGUGGAACCAUGAGCCAAUUAAACCUCUGUUCUUUAUAAAUUAUCCAGUCUCAGGUAUUUCUUUAUAGCAGUGCAAGAGAACAGACUAAUACACCUUCAUUCUGAUUAGGCUACAUAACUACCUCUGGGUUAAUCAGUGUCCCAGAGGAAAGCAUGAUUUGAUUUGGAGGGAGUAGGUCUGAUGCUCCACACAAAUCAUGUGCACUGGUUGGGGCAAGGGAGUUCUCUCCAGAGAAACUGGAACAGUAUUGAGAGCAAGGGAAAUGGAUUCUGAGUAGCUAAAAACACUAACUGUUCAUACACUAGCUCUGAGGGCGAUGUCUAGUAAGAAAUCAGCAUUAGCUGACUCUCUGCAGUGUCUUCCACCCCAAACCCUUAACUCCAGCUUCCCUUUUGGCUUUAGUGAGAGCACUGCCUUUGUUAGGGCAGAUGCUCCUGGCAUUCCCCCAACUCUGCUAUUCCUUUUGGUUUUAUUUUAUUUUAUUUUAUUAUUUUAUUUUAUUUGAGACGGAGUCUUGCUCUGUUGCAAAGGCUGGAAUGCAGUGGCACGAUCUCGGCUCACUGCAACCUCUGCCUCCCAGGUUCAAGCAAUUCUCCUGCCUCAGCCUCCCGAGUAGCUGGGGUUACAGGCACCCGCCAUCACACCAGGCUAAUUUUUGUAUUUUUAGUAGAGAUGUGGUUUCACCAUGUUGGCCAGGCUGGUUUCAAACUCCUGACCUCAGGUGAUCUGCCCGCCUUGGCCUCCCAAAGUGCUAGGAUUACAGGCAUGAGCCACUGCACCCGGCCCCCUUUGGCUUUAAAUACUCAGCUGUGAACCCAGCUCAUCUGCCAGGCCAGAAUGUGGCGAAUCUCCCCGCAUCCAGUCCUGCUCUUCCAACUGCCUGGCAAUGUCCUUGGCUAUUAGGGCCAUUAUCAGCCCAUCCCUCCCACCCACCACUCCAGUUCAGUCCAAUGCCUCCUUCAAGUUUCAAAGUUGCCUCUCAGUU
rnacentral:lncRNA from 1 species